GAGAGUAUUUUAAUAGGUAGAAAUGUAGUCUCCAAAACUAUAAGUAUAGGUUCAAAUCCUUUCUCUCCUG
rnacentral:tRNA from 1 species